rnacentral:rRNA from 1 species
AUGGAUUCCAUCUUGGCGAAUGAAACUUGGGAGAUAACUGAUCGUCCUUAUGGGUGCAAACCUAUAGGAUGCAAAUGGGUAUUCAAGAAGAAGCUUAGGCCUGAUGGUACUAUUGAAAAGUACAAGGCUCGGCUCGUGGCUAAGGGUUAUACCAAAGGUGAAGACUUCUUUGAUACUUACUCACUUGUGGCUCGAUUGAGCACUAUUCGAGUUCUACUUUCACUAGCUGCCUCACAUGGUCUUCUCUUUCAUCAAAUGGAUGUUAAGACUGCUUUCCUAAAUGGAGAGUUGGACGAGGAAAUUUAUAUGGAACAACCAGAUGGGAUUGUAAUAGAUGGCUUUGUUGUGAACGAAGCUGACAAAUGUGUGUACUAUCGCCAUGGUGGGGCGAGGGAGUUAUCCUUUGCUUGUAUGUUGAUGACAUACUGA